GAUGAAGAACGUAGCGAAAUGCGAUAAGUAAUGUGAAUUGCAGAAUUCAGUGAAUCAUCGAAUCUUUGAACGCACCUUGCGCUCCUUGGUAUUCCGAGGAGCAUGCCUGUUUGAGUGUCAUCAAUAUAUCAACCUCUUCAGCUUAUGCUUGUUGAGUGUUGGAUGGUGGGGGUUUGCUGGUGUCUUAUGAAGUCAGCUCCUCUGAAAUGCAUUAGCGGAACAAUUUGUUGACCGUUCAUUGGUGUGAUAAAAAUAUCUACGCUAUUGACGUCAGUCAGUUCAGCUUCUAACAGUCCAUUGACUUGGACAAAUUUUUCAUUAAUGUGACCUCAAAUCAGGUAGGACUACCCGCUGAACUUAAGCAUAUCAAUAAGCGGAGGA
rnacentral:misc_RNA from 1 species